UACGGAGGGUGCGAGCGUUGUCCGGAAUCCCCGGGCGUAAAGAGCUCGUAGGCGGUCUGUCGCGUCUGCUGUGAAAACUCAGGGCUUAACCCUGAGCUUGCAGUGGGUACGGGCAGACUAGAGUGCGGUAGGGGAGACUGGAAUUCCUGGUGUAGCGGUGAAAUGCGCAGAUAUCAGGAGGAACACCGGUGGCGAAGGCGGGUCUCUGGGCCGUAACUGACGCUGAGGAGCGAAAGCAUGGGGAGCGAACAGG
rnacentral:rRNA from 1 species